GCCGGCGUAGCUUAGCCUGGUAGAGCACCCGGCUGUUAACCGGGUGGCCGUGGGUUCAAAUCCCACCGCCGGCGCCA
rnacentral:tRNA from 1 species